rnacentral:lncRNA from 1 species
ACUUGACAUGAUUUUUAUAGUUAAGCACCAAUUAACAUUAUAAUCCUAAAGGGAAGGGAAUAGUUUCCCUCUGAAAGCCCCAGAUAGCAUCUAAAAAUUUUUUUCUAUUCUUCUACAUGAUUAAGGAUCAAAUCCUUACCUGAUUUACAGCAGAAUCAAAGAUCAAAUCUCAAUUUAUCUGGAUUAAAUCUUUACGGAGGCCUAGAUGUUCAGACCCUCUACUUCGCAUAUACGCUAGACACC